rnacentral:misc_RNA from 1 species
CGUAGGUGAACCUGCGGAAGGAUCAUUACUGAGUGAGGGCCCCUCGGGGUCCAACCUCCCACCCGUGUUUAACGAACCUUGUUGCUUCGGCGGGCCCGCCUCACGGCCGCCGGGGGGCAUCUGCCCCCGGGCCCGCGCCCGCCGAAGCCGCCUGUGAACGCUGUCUGAAGUAUGCAGUCUGAGACAAUUAUUAAAUUAAUUAAAACUUUCAACAACGGAUCUCUUGGUUCCG